rnacentral:rRNA from 1 species
CCUACGGGUGGCAGCAGUGCGGAAUAUUGGUCAAUGGGCGCUAGCCUGAACCAGCCAAGUAGCGUGAAGGAUGACUGCCCUAUGGGUUGUAAACUUCUUUUAUAUGGGAAUAAAGUGAAGUAUGUAUACUGCUUUGCAUGUACCUUAUGAAUAAGGAUCGGCUAACUCCGUGCCAUCAGCCGCGGUAAUACGGAGUAUCCGAGCGUUAUCCGGAUUUAAUGGGUUUAAAGGGAGAGUAGGCGGGUUGUUAAGUCAAGUGGGAAAGUUGGCGGGUCAACCGUAAAAUUGCAGUUGAUACUGGCAUCCUUGAGUACAGUAGAGGUAGGCGGAAUUCGUGGUGUAGCGGUGAAAUGCUUAGAUAUCACGAAGAACUCCGAUUGCGAAGGCAGCCUGCUGGACUGUAACUGACGCUGAUGCUCGAAAGUGUGGGUAUCAAACAGGAUUAGAUACCCUUGUAGUC